rnacentral:rRNA from 1 species
UGGCAGGUCGACGCUGAAGCCUGGUGCUUGCACCGGGUGGAUGAGUGGCGAACGGGUGAGUAACACGUGAGUAACCUGCCCCUGACUUCGGGAUAAGCCCGGGAAACUGGGUCUAAUACCGGAUACGACUGCCGGACGCAUGUCUGGUGGUGGAAAGUUUUUUCGGUUGGGGAUGGGCUCGCGGCCUAUCAGUUUGUUGGUGAGGUAAUGGCUCACCAAGACGACGACGGGUAGCCGGCCUGAGAGGGCGACCGGCCACACUGGGACUGAGACACGGCCCAGACUCCUACGGGAGGCAGCAGUGGGGAAUAUUGCACAAUGGGGGAAACCCUGAUGCAGCGACGCAGCGUGCGGGAUGACGGCCUUCGGGUUGUAAACCGCUUUCAGCAGGGAAGAAGCGCAAGUGACGGUACCUGCAGAAGAAGUACCGGCUAACUACGUGCCAGCAGCCGCGGUAAUACGUAGGGUACGAGCGUUGUCCGGAAUUAUUGGGCGUAAAGAGCUCGUAGGUGGUUGGUCACGUCUGCUGUGGAAACGCAACGCUUAACGUUGCGCGUGCAGUGGGUACGGGCUGACUAGAGUGCAGUAGGGGAGUCUGGAAUUCCUGGUGUAGCGGUGAAAUGCGCAGAUAUCAGGAGGAACACCGGUGGCGAAGGCGGGACUCUGGGCUGUAACUGACACUGAGGA